rnacentral:rRNA from 1 species
CGCGGUAUUUUGACCGUGCAAAGGUAGCGUAAUCACCUGUCUUUUAAAUAAAGACCUGUAUGAAUGGCAAGACGAGGGUUUUACUGUCUCCUCCCCCCAGUCAAUGAAAUUGAUCUACCCGUGCAGAAGCGGGUAUAAAAACAUAAGACGAGAAGACCCUAUGGAGCUUUAGGCAUAUAUCAAAUAUGUAAAAAACCAAAUUUUUCCAAAUAGGCCUAAAAAAUGAGAAAAACAAGUAUUAAUGAUUAAGUGCCUUCGGUUGGGGCGACCACGGGGAAAAAUAAAACCCCCACAUGGAAUGGGAAAAAUAACCCUAAGCCAAGAAAAACACUUCUAAGCAACAAAAUUUUUGACCAAUAAACGACCCAGGGACACCAUCCCUGAGCAAUGAACCAAGUUACCCUAGGGAUAACAGCGCAAUCCUUUCCCAGAGCCCAUAUCAACGAAAGGGUUUACGACCUCGAUGUUGGAUCAGGGCAUCCUAACGGUGCAGCCGCUGUUAAGGGUUCGUUUGUUCAACGAUUAAUAGCCCU